UACGUAGGUCCCGAGCGUUAUCCGGAUUUAUUGGGCGUAAAGCGAGCGCAGGCGGUUAGAUAAGUCUGAAGUUAAAGGCUGUGGCUUAACCAUAGUACGCUUUGGAAACUGUUUAACUUGAGUGCAGAAGGGGAGAGUGGAAUUCCAUGUGUAGCGGUGAAAUGCGUAGAUAUAUGGAGGAACACCGGUGGCGAAAGCGGCUCUCUGGUCUGUAACUGACGCUGAGGCUCGAAAGCGUGGGGAGCAAACAGG
rnacentral:rRNA from 1 species